AAAAAGGAGGUCUGAGUCAUCCUUUUAGCUGCAGAAGCCAGGCAACUAAUUUGCAAUACACCAUCUUCACAGAGCCUGCCUUUUAGAUGAUGUUCAUUAAGGAAGUCUCUGUUUUGCAGGUGACUACUUGUCUCAGUAAUCCACAAGGAAAUAUUGAAGGAUCUUCACUUUCUCCCUGAAUGGAACAAGAAAAGUUUUCAAAGCUUGAAAACAUUCUGGACAUUCAUUCUAACCAUUUCUGAACUGUAAUUGUCUUAAGAUACCAUCUUGUAGAAGCUGACUAGUGAAACUUACAAAAUACCUGCCAGAUCAUGUUCAACAAAGAAGAUCUACAGUGUUUAUUUUUAUUAUACAUUUUCCUAGU